UGCAGUCGAGCGGGGAAGUGCCGCAAGGUGCUUCUCAGCGGCGGACGGCUGAGUAACACGUAGGAAUCUACCCCUUUCUGGAGGAUAGCUCGUCGAAAGACGGGGUAAUACUCCAUGGUGUCCGACUCAAAGUCGGACUAAAGAGCUUAACUGCUCGGAAAGGGAUGAACCUGCGGCCUAUCAGGUAGUUGGUAGGGUAAUGGCCUACCAAGCCUACGACGGGUAGCUGGUCUGAGAGGAUGGUCAGCCAGAGGAGGACUGAGACACGGCCCCCACUCCUACGGGAGGCAGCAAUCAGGAAUAGUCGGCAAUGGGCGAAAGCCUGACCGCGCGACGCCGCGUGCGGGAAGAAGCUCGAAAGAGUGUAAACCGCUGUGGUAGAGGAAGAAAACCUCCGAUUCGGAGGUUUGACGGUACUCUACUAGAAAGGGGCCGCUAACUGCGUGCCAGAAGCGUCGGUAAUACGUGGGCCCCAAACGUUAUCCGGUUUUACUGGGCGUAAAGGGUCGUGUAGGCGUUCUUUCAAGUUUUGUCUCAAAUCCUAUGGCCCAACCAUAGAAAGGGACAAAAGACUAAAAGAAUAGAGUUAUCUUUAGGGAAAUCAGAACUCAAGGAGGAGUAGUGAAAUGCGUUGAUACCUUGGGGAACACCAGAGGCGAAGGCGGAUUUCUGGAAGAUAACUGACGCUGAGACACGAAAGCUAGGGGAGCGAAGCAGAUUAGAGACCUGCGUAGUCCUAGCUGUAAACGCAUGUCUGCUAGCCGCAUCUUUCCCGCCAUUGGCGGGAUAGGUGUAGCGAAGGUAACCCGUUUAAGCA
rnacentral:rRNA from 1 species